rnacentral:lncRNA from 1 species
UGCUUUUUGGCUUCCAGAAAUGUGCUAUGGGAGGAGCAGCUUCAUUCCACUACACCCUUACACCAUGAAGUUCUGUCUCACCUCACGAACACAGCAACACGACCAGACAACCAUGGACUGAACCCUCUGAAACCAUGAGGCAAAGUGAAUUUUUCCUCUUUAUGCCAGAUGGAAUUACAGUUUUCUUGAAUCAGAAUAACUCAAAGCAAUCAGCUCACUCCUCUCUCUGGCAGCCAGCUUUGUAAUCCCGGGUCACAUGUCACUUCUAAUCGUGGGCGUGAUGCUCGAGUUUUCCUUGGGCCUUAAUUUCACCCAUGUAAAUCCUCUCCUUCAGCAGCUGCAGAAUCGUGUCAGGGAAAGUAAUCUUAAGGCACACACUUCUGCAAGAGAGAUCAACUGAGCCUGACAUGAAGCCAUGCACUCCAGGGCCACAGAUGACAGGCCAAAUAUAGUCAAAGAUGAAGAUUAAUUAGUAAAAUGCUUCAGCUUUCCAGAAAGGACAGUAGAAGCCAGUUCCUGGGGAUGCUAUAUUUCUUGGAUACCAAUGUAGAUUGCUCACAGAUUUCUGAUGGAUGCCUGGUGCAGGGUCAUUCCUGACUGCAUUUCUGUGGAAGUAUAAGCCAAGUCUGUAAACUGAAAUGGAGAAUGGAUCCUAAACUUUUGAUGAAGUUGUGGUUCAGAACAGGAUCACCCUGGAUGGAAUGCUUGCUUCUGAGUUAUGGAUGAACCACAAGGUUAACAGAGAGGACCUUGGAGACUGAAUAUGUCCAGCAGAAGAAGCAAAGUCUAGUUCAUGAUCAG